rnacentral:rRNA from 1 species
GAGUCUUAACCGGGCGUUAAGUUGCAGGGUAUAGACCCGAAACCCGGUGAUCUAGCCAUGGGCAGGUUGAAGGUUGGGUAACACUAACUGGAGGACCGAACCGACUAAUGUUGAAAAAUUAGCGGAUGACCUGUGGCUGGGGGUGAAAGGCCAAUCAAACCGGGAGAUAGCUGGUUCUCCCCGAAAGCUAUUUAGGUAGCGCCUCGUGAAUUCAUCUCCGGGGGUAGAGCACUGUUUCGGCUAGGGGGCCAUCCCGGCUUACCAACCCGAUGCAAACUGCGAAUACCGGAGAAUGUUAUCACGGGAGACACACGGCGGGUGCUAACGUCCGUCGUGAAGAGGGAAACAACCCAGACCGCCAGCUAAGGUCCCAAAGUCAUGGUUAAGUGGGAAACGAUGUGGGAAGGCCCAGACAGCCAGGAUGUUGGCUUAGAAGCAGCCAUCAUUUAAAGAAAGCGUAAUAGCUCACUGGUCGAGUCGGCCUGCGCGGAAGAUGUAACGGGGCUAAACCAUGCACCGAAGCUGCGGCAGCGAACGUAUCACCCAAGACAACUUUACGGAGUUGACGAUUGACGGAGCGAAGCGACGUCAAAGCGUUCAUUAAAGUCGAGUUGGCUUAGGGAUACGUUCGUUGGGUAGGGGAGCGUUCUGUAAGCCUGUGAAGGUGUGUCGUGAGGCAUGCUGGAGGUAUCAGAAGUGCGAAUGCUGACAUAAGUAACGAUAAAGCGGGUGAAAAGCCCGCUCGCCGGAAGACCAAGGGUUCCUGUCCAACGUUAAUCGGGGCAGGGUGAGUCGACCCCUAAGGCGAGGCCGAAAGGCGUAGUCGAUGGGAAACGGGUUAAUAUUCCCGUACUUGGUGUUACUGCGAAGGGGGGACGGAGAAGGCUAUGUUGGCCGGGCGACGGUUGUCCCGGUUUAAGCGUGUAGGUGUGUGUUCCAGGUAAAUCCGGUUCACUUUAACACUGAGGCGUGACGACGAGGCACUACGGUGCUGAAGCAACAAAUGCCCUGCUUCCAGGAAAAGCCUCUAAGCAUCAGGUAACAUCAAAUCGUACCCCAAACCGACACAGGUGGUCAGGUAGAGAAUACCAAGGCGCUUGAGAGAACUCGGGUGAAGGAACUAGGCAAAAUGGUGCCGUAACUUCGGGAGAAGGCACGCUGACACGUAGGUGAAGUGAUUUACUCAUGGAGCUGAAGUCAGUCGAAGAUACCAGCUGGCUGCAACUGUUUAUUAAAAACACAGCACUGUGCAAACACGAAAGUGGACGUAUACGGUGUGACGCCUGCCCGGUGCCGGAAGGUUAAUUGAUGGGGUCAGCGCAAGCGAAGCUCCUGAUCGAAGCCCCGGUAAACGGCGGCCGUAACUAUAACGGUCCUAAGGUAGCGAAAUUCCUUGUCGGGUAAGUUCCGACCUGCACGAAUGGCGUAAUGAUGGCCAGGCUGUCUCCACCCGAGACUCAGUGAAAUUGAACUCGCUGUGAAGAUGCAGUGUACCCGCGGCAAGACGGAAAGACCCCGUGAACCUUUACUAUAGCUUGACACUGAACAUUGAGCCUUGAUGUGUAGGAUAGGUGGGAGGCUUUGAAGUGUGGACGCCAGUCUGCAUGGAGCCGACCUUGAAAUACCACCCUUUAAUGUUUGAUGUUCUAACGUGGACCCGUAAUCCGGGUUGCGGACAGUGUCUGGUGGGUAGUUUGACUGGGGCGGUCUCCUCCUAAAGAGUAACGGAGGAGCACGAAGGUUGGCUAAUCCUGGUCGGACAUCAGGAGGUUAGUGCAAUGGCAUAAGCCAGCUUGACUGCGAGCGUGACGGCGCGAGCAGGUGCGAAAG